rnacentral:rRNA from 1 species
UACAGAGGGUGCAAGCGUUGUUCGGAAUUAUUGGGCGUAAAGGGCGUGUAGGCGGCCUUGCAAGUCGGAUGUGAAAGCCCCGGGCUCAACCCGGGAAGUGCACCCGAUACUGCUAGGCUCGAGUACCGGAGAGGUUGGUGGAAUUCUCGGUGUAGAGGUGAAAUUCGUAGAUAUCGAGAGGAACACCGGUGGCGAAGGCGAGUCCCUGGACGAUACCUGACACUGAGGCACGAAAGCCAAGGGAGCAAACAGG